CCAUGGGGUGCAGGUGUGGGGGCCGCAAUCUAUAAUUAUAUUUAUGUGGGUGUUUUCUAUAAGAAUUGUUUGAGUGUAAGUUCCAAAACAUACAGCAAGGAAACUCCAACCAAUCCCAAACAUAUUUAGCCGUUAGUAGGACCCCACUCCUCUCUCCCCAUAACUUUUUGUUAAGAGGAGGUUCUUAAGGCUUGAUUGACUGAUUACAUAUUUGUGAGCUGUACUGCCAUUUGAUUUGAUAAGAUAUUUCGCAAUUAUUACUCUGUACUUCAUAUUUGAUUUACCCCCUUUUGUUUUUCCUUUUUAUUUGUUUAUUUUGAAUUUCCACAUUUGUUAAAAACUCCCUUCCCUCUAAAUCUUUUUUUUUGGGCAACCUUGCUCUUCCUUUGCAUGUUUAGAAGAUCCACACACAUCAAGAAGUGCUUUAUUUCACCCAUUAC
rnacentral:lncRNA from 1 species